rnacentral:rRNA from 1 species
UACGUAGGGUGCAAGCGUUGUUCGGAAUUAUUGGGCGUAAAGGGGGUGUAGGCGGUGGGUUAAGUCUUCUGGUAAAUCUACGGGCUCAGCCUGUAACGUGCAGAGGAAACUGGCUGACUUGAGUGUCGGAGAGGAUAGUGGAAUUCCCGGUGUAGAGGUGAAAUUCGUAGAGAUCGGGAGGAACACCAGUGGCGAAGGCGACUAUCUGGCUGACAACUGACGCUGAGACUCGAAAGCAUGGGGAGCAAACAGG